rnacentral:rRNA from 1 species
GUGCGUAGGCGGCUUGGUAAGUCAGAUGUGAAAUCCUGGGGCUCAACCUCGGAACUGCAUUUGAUACUGCCAGGCUAGAGUACUGGAGAGGAGACUGGAAUUUACGGUGUAGCAGUGAAAUGCGUAGAUAUCGUAAGGAAGGCCAGUGGCGAAGGCGAGUCUCUGGACAGUAACUGACGCUGAGGCACGAAGGCUAGGGGAGCAAACG